AAACAAGAAAUUUAACUGAUCAUCCCUGGGUUAAUAGCAAAGAGUAAGCAUAGUCUUUACAUGAUAAAAACUAUUGGCUAAUGGCUGUCAAAACUUUUACCCCAAUAAGAGUUCACCUAAACUCAGAAUCACUGCAGUAAAGCCUUAGACUAACAUCCCUACUUCCUGACUGAAACUUUCAGUACUAAACCAUUUCUUUCACACUAUAAUACAAGCCUAGCUUGCCCUUGCCCCUUCACAUUUUCACUUUUUU
rnacentral:misc_RNA from 1 species